GAUGGAGAACGUAGCGAAAUGCGAUAAGUAAUGUGAAUUGCAGAAUUCAGUGAAUCAUCGAAUCUUUGAACGCACAUUGCUCCCGCCAGUAUUCUGGCGGGCAUGCCUGUUCGAGCGUCAUUUCAACCCUCAGGCCCCCAGUGCCUGGUGUUGGGGAUCGGCCCAGCCUUCCUGUAAGGCCGCCGGCCCCGAAAUCUAGUGGCGGUCUCGCUGUAGUCCUCCUCUGCGUAGUAGCACAACCUCGCAGUUGGAACGCGGCGGUGGCCAUGCCGUUAAACACCCCACUUCUGAAAGUUGACCUCGGAUCAGGUAGGAAUACCCGCUGAACUUAAGCAUAUCAAUAAGCGGAGGA
rnacentral:misc_RNA from 1 species